rnacentral:rRNA from 1 species
AUUGAACGCUGGCGGCAUGCUCUACACAUGCAAGUCGAACGGUAACAGGCCGCAAGGUGCUGACGAGUGGCGAACGGGUGAGUAAUGCAUCGGAACGUGCCCAGUCGUGGGGGAUAACUACUCGAAAGAGUAGCUAAUACCGCAUACGAUCUAUGGAUGAAAGCGGGGGACCGUAAGGCCUCGCGCGAUCGGAGCGGCCGAUGUCAGAUUAGGUAGUUGGUGGGGUAAAGGCUCACCAAGCCAACGAUCUGUAGCUGGUCUGAGAGGACGACCAGCCACACUGGGACUGAGACACGGCCCAGACUCCUACGGGAGGCAGCAGUGGGGAAUUUUGGACAAUGGGCGCAAGCCUGAUCCAGCAAUGCCGCGUGCAGGAAGAAGGCCUUCGGGUUGUAAACUGCUUUUGUACGGAACGAAACGGCUCUGGUUAAUACCCGGGGCUAAUGACGGUACCGUAAGAAUAAGCACCGGCUAACUACGUG